rnacentral:rRNA from 1 species
CCCUUGGGUCCGGCAUAACUCCGGGAAACUGGAGAUAAUUCCGGAUAACGCAUAUAUGCUGGAAUGCUUUAUGCGUAAAAUGGAUUCGUCUGCCCAAGGAUGGGUCUGCGGCCUAUCAGGUAGUAGUGGGUGUAAUGUACCUACUAGCCUACGACGGGUACGGGUUGUGAGAGCAAGAGCCCGGAGAUGGAUUCUGAGACAUGAAUCCAGGCCCUACGGGGCGCAGCAGGCGCGAAAACUUUACAAUGCGGGAAACCGUGAUAAGGGGACACCGAGUGCCAGCAUCAUAUGCUGGCUGUCCAGGUGUGUAAAAUACACCUGUUAGCAAGGGCCGGGCAAGACCGGUGCCAGCCGCCGCGGUAACACCGGCGGCCCGAGUGGUGAUCGUGAUUAUUGGGUCUAAAGGGUCCGUAGCCGGUUUGGUCAGUCCUCCGGGAAAUCUGAUAGCUCAACUAUUAGGCUUUCGGAGGAUACUGCCAGACUUGGAACCGGGAGAGGUAAGAGGUACUACAGGGGUAGGAGUGAAAUCUUGUAAUCCCUGUGGGACCACCUGUGGCGAAGGCGUCUUACCAGAACGGGUUCGACGGUGAGGGACGAAAGCUGGGGGCACGAACCGGAUUAGAUACCCGGGUAGUCCCAGCCGUAAACGAUGCUCGCUAGGUGUCAGGCAUGGCGCGACCGUGUCUGGUGCCGCAGGGAAGCCGUGAAGCGAGCCACCUGGGAAGUACGGCCGCAAGGCUGAAA